rnacentral:rRNA from 1 species
GACGAACGCUGGCGGCGUGCUUAACACAUGCAAGUCGAACGGACAGGCCCUGCUUUUGUGUGUUGCUCGAGUGGCGAACGGGUGAGUAACACGUGAGUAACCUGCCCUUGACUUUGUGAUAACUUCAGGAAACUGGGGCUAUUACCGGAUAUGAUCUCCUGCUGCAUGGUGGUGGUUGGAGAGUUUCGGCGGUUGGGGAUGGACUCGCGGCUUCUCCGCUUGUUGGUGGGGUAGUGGCUUACCAAGGCUUUGACGGGUAGCCGGCCUGAGAGGGUGACCGGCGACAUUGGGACUGAGGUACGGCCCAGAAUCCUACGGGAGGCAGCAGGGGGGAAUAUUGCACAAUGGGCGGAAGCCUGAGGCAGCAACGCCGCGUGCGGGAUGACGGCCUUCGGGUUGUAAACAGAUUUGGCAUGUGACGAAGAGUGAGUGGCGGUAAUGGGUAAAGAAGCACCGGCUAACUACGUG